GGUAAAAUGGCUGAGUAUAAAGCGGCGGGCUGUAGACCCGUAGAUAGAGGUUCAACUCCUCUUUUUAUCA
rnacentral:tRNA from 1 species